rfam:Pseudooceanicola atlanticus strain 22II-s11g contig10, whole genome shotgun sequence.
GGAUCGGGAGGUCACCAUUCGGGAAGGUGGCCAGGCAUGGAUCCGAACCCCCUGUUUCUAAGGGCGCAGUGCCGGGGCCCGACGGCAUUCGCA